AUGUCUAAGUUCACACUGUCUCACGGUGAAACCGCGAAUGGCUCAUUAAAUCAGUCGAGGUUCCUUAGAUGACACGAUCCUACUUGGAUAACUGUGGCAAUUCUAGAGCUAAUACAUGCUUCUGAAGCUCCGACCCUCGUGGAAAGAGCGCUUUUAUUAGUUCAAAACCAAUCGCCGUCUGCCGGGCCUCGCGUCCGGCGGCGGCGUCCCCUUUGGUGACUCUGGAUAACUUUGUGCUGAUCGCAUGGCCCUUGCGCUGGCGACGCAUCUUUCAAAUGUCUGCCCUAUCAAAUGUCGAUGGUACGUGACAUGCCUACCAUGUUUGUAACGGGUAACGGGGAAUCAGGGUUCGAUUCCGGAGAGGGAGCAUGAGAAACGGCUACCACAUCCAAGGAAGGCAGCAGGCGCGCAACUUACCCACUCCCGGCACGGGGAGGUAGUGACGAAAAAUAACAAUACGGGACUCUUUCGAGGCCCCGUAAUUGGAAUGAGUACACUUUAAAGCCUUUAACGAGGAUCUAUUGGAGGGCAAGUCUGGUGCCAGCAGCCGCGGUAAUUCCAGCUCCAAUAGCGUAUAUUAAAGUUGUUGCAGUUAAAAAGCUCGUAGUUGGAUCUCAGGUGCAGGCGGGCGGUCCGGCUCGCGCCGGUUCACUGCCCGUAUCUCCUGCCCUACCGUCUGCCGGCUCUCUCCCGCGGGUGCUCUUCGCUGAGCGUCCCGGGUGGCCGGCGCGUUUACUUUGAAAAAAUUAGAGUGUUCAAAGCAGGCCUUGGUCGCCUGAAUAAUGGUGCAUGGAAUAAUGGAAUAGGACCUCGGUGUCUAUUUUGUUGGUUUUCGGAAACGAGGUAAUGAUUAACAGGGACAAACGGGGGCAUUCGUAUUGCGGCGUUAGAGGUGAAAUUCUUGGAUCGCCGCAAGACGGACUACUGCGAAAGCAUUUGUCAAGAAUGUUUUCAUUAGUCAAGAACGAAAGUCAGAGGCGCGAAGACGAUCAGAUACCGUCGUAGUUCUGACCAUAAACGAUGCCAACUAGCGAUCCGCAGGAGUUGCUUUGAUGACUCUGCGGGCAGCUUCCGGGAAACCAAAGUUUUUGGGUUCCGGGGGAAGUAUGGUUGCAAAGCUGAAACUUAAAG
rnacentral:rRNA from 1 species